rnacentral:rRNA from 1 species
AUUGAACGCUGGCGGCAGGCUUAACACAUGCAAGUCGAGCGGAGAUGAGGUGCUUGCACCUUAUCUUAGCGGCGGACGGGUGAGUAAUGCUUAGGAAUCUGCCUAUUAGUGGGGGACAACAUUCCGAAAGGAAUGCUAAUACCGUAUACGCCCUACGGGGGAAAGCAGGGGAUCUUCGGACCUUGCGCUAAUAGAUGAGCCUAAGUCGGAUUAGCUAGUUGGUGGGGUAAAGGCCUACCAAGGCGACGAUCUGUAGCGGGUCUGAGAGGAUGAUCCGCCACACUGGGACUGAGACACGGCCCAGAGUCCUACGGGAGGCAGCAGUGGGGAAUAUUGGACAAUGGGCGGAAGCCUGAUCCAGCCAUGCCGCGUGUGUGAAGAAGGCCUUUUGGUUGUAAAGCACUUUAAGCGAGGAGGAGGCUACCUGGAUUAAUACUCUAGGAUAGUGGACGUUACUCGCAGAAUAAGCACCGGCUAACUCUGUGCCAGCAGCCGCCGUAA